GGAAGGGUCAGCGUCCUACUACUGCAGUACAGGAUGGGUAUGUGAAGGCCUCUUGCCCUGCAUUGGCUGCCAGAGGGGCCCACUAGCCAUGCAAGACUCAUGCACAUUGUUGGAGCUGAUCUCACCCUGUCUCUUCUCUAUACUUGGCAACAUUCUCUUCAAAGUGGCGUAUCCAGGCCAGGCGCAGUGGCUCACGCCUGUAAUCCCAGCGCUUUGGGAGGCCAAGGUGGGCAGAUCACCUGAGGUCAGGAGUUCGAGACCAACCUGGCCAACAUGGCAAAACCGCAUCUCUACUAAAAAUACAAAAAUGAGUUGGGCGUGGUGGCACGUGCCUAUAAUCCCGCUACUCAGGCGGCUGAGGCAGGAGAAUUGCUUGAACCUGGGAGGUAGAGGUUGCAGUGAGCCAAGAUAGCGCCAUUGCACUCCAGCCUGGGCAACAAGAGCAAAACUCCA
rnacentral:lncRNA from 1 species